AGGGUGCCGGGGCUUCUCCCGUGUUUAAGAGAGACGGAAGAAGA
rnacentral:tRNA from 1 species